rnacentral:misc_RNA from 1 species
UUCUGAUUGAACCUGAACCCGACGUCCUUUUUUGCCGUUUUCCUUUUAGAAUUAUAAAAGAGGAAAACGGAAAAUUGAUUUUCUGUUUUCCGUUUAAUUUUCCGAUUUUCAUUCGUUUUGUGCAUUUUUCACCAUGGAGGAGUAUGAAGCUUUUCUGAUUGAACCUGAACAGGAAUGGCAAACGGUGUCGUAUCAUAAGAAGAACAAAAAACAGUCAGGUAAGUCGAAGCAGGGAGAGGAGUUCUCCGGCAACUGGAACAACGGGGAGAGCUCAGGUGAUGUUUUCCGAUCGAUCGAACAACAUGCGGAGGAGAGAAGGAAGCGUAUAGUUGAGUCUCAGAAGCUUUAUGAAGCUGCUUCCGGUGAAAGUUCUGCCGUCAUUGAUAAAAACGAGCAGGAUAGCGAUGGAGAAGAUGCCGCUGGUGGUGCAAUUGAGAAUGACGGUGUUGUGGAGAAGAAGAGUAAGCCGAAGAAGGUGAAGAAACCUAAGGUUACUGUUGCUGAAGCUGCUGCGAAGAUCGAUAAUUCUGAUCUAGUUGUUUAUCUCGUUGAUAUAUCAACCUCGUUUGAUAAGCAGGAAGAUAUACAGCUAAUGCGAUUUGCAGAUUACUUUGGACGAGCAUUCGCCAAAGUGAGUUCAUCUCAGUUCCCAUGGAUGAAGAUUCUUAGGGAAUCUUCAGUUGAGAAGAUGAUUGAUAUCCCUGUUUCUCAAAUUUCUGAGGAUGUUUAUAAGACAUCUGUUGACUGGCUUAACCAGCGAUCAUUUGAUGCACUUGGUUCCUUUGUGUUAUGGUCAUUGGAUAGCAUUAUUGCUGAUCUUGUACAGCACGAAGGAGCUUCAAAGGGAUCCAAAAAGGUGGUUCAGCAAGUAUCUUCAAAAUCCCAGGUUGCCAUGUUUGUGGUUCUAGCAAUGGUAUUGAGACGGAAACCUGAUGUUUUAAUCAGUCUCUUACCAAUACUGAAUGAAAAUGGGAAAUACCGAGGACAAGAUAAGCUUCCAGUCAUGAUUUGGGCAGUCACUCAGGCUUGCCAAGCUGAUUUAAUCGUGGGAUUGUUCAUGUGGGUACAUUUUCUCUUACCAUUGUUAAGCAGUAAAUUGAACAGUAACCCACAGUCGAGAGACUUAAUGUUACAGUUGGCUGAGAGAAUUGUAUCCUCACCAAAAGCCCGUGCUAUACUCAUAAAUGGUGCAGUCAGAAAGGGAGAACGUGUUGUGCCUCCAUCAGCUCUUGAGGUUUUGAUGAGGAUCACCUUCCCAGCACCUUCUGCUCGAAUUAAGGCCACUGACAGGUUUGAAGCGGUCUAUCCUACACUGAAAGAGGUAGCUCUUGUUGCUGCCCCUGGGAGCAAAGCAAUGAAGCAGCUAACCCAGCGGAUACUGCCUUUUGCUAUCAAAGCUGUAGGGGAAGGUGUUCCUGAUCUAUCAAAGGAAGCUACUGAGCUAUCUAUUUGGUGUUUGACUCAGAACCCCGACUGUUACAAGCUGUGGGACAAUAUUUAUCUGGACAAUGUAGAAGCAAGUCUAAUAAUAAUUAAGAAGCUGUCCACAGAGUUCAAGGCGCAUUCUGCUAAGGGACCUGAACUUGAUCCAUUGAAGGUGACCUUGAACAGUCUCAGACUUAAGAGCGAGAAGGCAUUGGUCAGUGGGGAUAAUGCUGCUCAUCAAGCGUCCUUGAAGGAAGUGCAGAAGUACUGCAAGAUUUUACUUGGACGUUUAUCCCAUGGUAAUGGAUGCAUGAAGGCUUUCUUUGUUAUCGGUCUAACAAUGGCUGUGGGUGUUGCUUUUGUCUCCAAGGAGUCCCCGGAGGUCAAGAAACUGUUGGCAGAUCGCUUCAAUGACUUGCAGUCCCUGGACUUCAAGAAACUGUUGACAGAUCUCUCCAACGACGUGCAGUCCCUGGAUUUCAAGAAACUGUUGUCAGAUUUCAACUUGGCUUGAAACUUCCCCUUCUCACAUAGAGGGUUGUAAGUUAAAUCACACCUACCUUUGUUAUAUGUUUAAAUUAUGUCCCGGCACAGAGAAGCUAGCACACCCCAGAACAAAAAUGGGUAGAGAAUGAGUUGUUUUAGAAAGGAAAAAAAAAUAAAAUAGGUACAGCAGAUAUGAUGCCAAGUUUCUGGCCUCAGUUUACAGUGUUUGUGUUUGUUUAGUUUUUUUAUGAAACAGAACUAUUUAAGUAAUCGAAUUUCGUUUGGCUGAACUAUGUUUGGUUUUUCAAGCCAUUUUCAUUUGAUAAGAAAUGGUUUGUAACUUUAUAUAUGUAGUAUAUGGAAGGAAUUGUAAGAUAUGAUUAUG